rnacentral:rRNA from 1 species
GGAUGAACGCUGGCGGCAUGCUUAACCCAUGCAAGUCGAACGGGAAGUGGUGUUUCCAGUGGCGAACGGGUGAGUAACGCGUAAGAACCUGCCCUUGGGAGGGGAACAACAACUGGAAACGGUUGCUAAUACCCCGUAGGCUGAGGAGCAAAAGGAGAAAUCCGCCCAAGGAGGGGCUCGCGUCUGAUUAGCUAGUUGGUGAGGUAAUAGCUUACCAAGGCGAUGAUCAGUAGCUGGUCCGAGAGGAUGAUCAGCCACACUGGGACUGAGACACGGCCCAGACUCCUACGGGAGGCAGCAGUGGGGAAUUUUCCGCAAUGGGCGAAAGCCUGACGGAGCAAUGCCGCGUGGAGGUGGAAGGCCUACGGGUCGUCAACUUCUUUUCUCGGAGAAGAAACAAUGACGGUAUCUGAGGAAUAAGCAUCGGCUAACUCUGUG